rnacentral:rRNA from 1 species
GACGAACGCUGGCGGCGUGCCUAAUACAUGCAAGUCGAACGCAGUGGGGACGGGUGAGUAACACGUGGGUAACCUCCCAUCAGAGGGGAUAACACUUGGAAACAGGUGCUAAACCGAUACUGAUGGAUGGACCCGCGGUGCAUUAGCUAGUGGGUGAGGUAACGGCUCACCAAGGCCACUAUGCAUAGCCGACCUGAGAGGGGGAUCGGCCACACUGGUAUGGAGAAACGGCUCAGACUCCUACGGGAGGCAGCAGUAGGGAAGCUUCGGCAAUGGAUGAAAGUCUGAUCGAGCAAAGCGGCGUGAGUGAAGAAGGUUUGCGGAUCGUAAAACUAGGUUGUUAGAGAAGCGGUAUCUAACCAGAAAGCCACGGCUAACGACGUGCCAGCAGCCGCGGUAAUUC